UAUUUAUAUAGUUUAAUAAAAACAUUAUAUUUUCAUUAUAAAAUUAAAAACAUUUUUUUAUAAAU
rnacentral:tRNA from 1 species